GACGUACUUGUACUGAUUGAGAUUUUAACACGAAGUGAGUGGCGAACGGGUGAGUAACACGUGGGUAACCUGCCCAGAAGUAGGGGAUAACACCUGGAAACAGAUGCUAAUACCGUAUAACAGAGAAAACCGCAUGGUUUUCUUUUAAAAGAUGGCUCUGCUAUCACUUCUGGAUGGACCCGCGGCGUAUUAGCUAGUUGGUGAGGUAAAGGCUCACCAAGGCAGUGAUACGUAGCCGACCUGAGAGGGUAAUCGGCCACAUUGGGACUGAGACACGGCCCAGACUCCUACGGGAGGCAGCAGUAGGGAAUCUUCCACAAUGGACGCAAGUCUGAUGGAGCAACGCCGCGUGAGUGAAGAAGGGUUUCGGCUCGUAAAGCUCUGUUGUUAAAGAAGAACGUGGGUAAGAGUAACUGUUUACCCAGUGACGGUAUUUAACCAGAAAGCCACGGCUAACUACGUGCCAGCAGCCGCGGUAAUACGUAGGUGGCAAGCGUUAUCCGGAUUUAUUGGGCGUAAAGCGAGCGCAGGCGGUCUUUUAAGUCUAAUGUGAAAGCCUUCGGCUCAACCGAAGAAGUGCAUUGGAAACUGGGAGACUUGAGUGCAGAAGAGGACAGUGGAACUCCAUGUGUAGCGGUGAAAUGCGUAGAUAUAUGGAAGAACACCAGUGGCGAAGGCGGCUGUCUGGUCUGCAACUGACGCUGAGGCUCGAAAGCAUGGGUAGCGAACAGGAUUAGAUACCCUGGUAGUCCAUGCCGUAAACGAUGAUUACUAAGUGUUGGAGGGUUUCCGCCCUUCAGUGCUGCAGCUAACGCAUUAAGUAAUCCGCCUGGGGAGUACGACCGCAAGGUUGAAACUCAAAAGAAUUGACGGGGGCCCGCACAAGCGGUGGAGCAUGUGGUUUAAUUCGAAGCUACGCGAAGAACCUUACCAGGUCUUGACAUCUUCUGACAGUCUAAGAGAUUAGAGGUUCCCUUCGGGGACAGAAUGACAGGUGGUGCAUGGUUGUCGUCAGCUCGUGUCGUGAGAUGUUGGGUUAAGUCCCGCAACGAGCGCAACCCUUAUUACUAGUUGCCAGCAUUAAGUUGGGCACUCUAGUGAGACUGCCGGUGACAAACCGGAGGAAGGUGGGGACGACGUCAAAUCAUCAUGCCCCUUAUGACCUGGGCUACACACGUGCUACAAUGGAUGGUACAACGAGUCGCGAAACCGCGAGGUUAAGCUAAUCUCUUAAAACCAUUCUCAGUUCGGACUGUAGGCUGCAACUCGCCUACACGAAGUCGGAAUCGCUAGUAAUCGCGGAUCAGCAUGCCGCGGUGAAUACGUUCCCGGGCCUUGUACACACCGCCCGUCACACCAUGAGAGUUUGUAACACCCAAAGCCGGUGG
rnacentral:rRNA from 1 species